rnacentral:lncRNA from 1 species
UGCGUUCCACUUAAAGUCUACGACGACCACGACUACAAUCGCAGUAUUUGCCGUUCCACUAGCUUAUGGGCGCUGCGGAUGAAAUCUUUAGUGGAACGGAUUUUAUGGGUGAACAGUCUCUAUCACAUGGAUGGUAACAUUAAGGUAAUCGUACUGCGCUGUAUAAAAUAUGAAUCUGAAGACUCAUCGAGUUCUGAUGAUGAAUGGGAAUUAGUGUUACGUAAAAGGAAAAAGCGUACAUUUCGUCUGCGAAUUCCGAAUUAUGUCGAUGUUGUGGUCCGCUACAUGGAUUACGAUUUCAAAAGUCAUUUUAGAAUGUCGAAGGUGAAUUUGAAUUUCUUUUAUACAUGCUCAGGCCAUAUUUAAGACAAAUAAAGAGAUCUCUUAUGAUACCAUCACAUCAUCAAUUAAUUGCUAUUUGGAAAAUAGCAACGAUGGACUCCUCCAGAUCUGUUUGAGAUUCAAUGUUGGAAGAGACACUGCUCUUCGAGCUGUGCAAAGGGUCACUCAUGCAUUUUUCUUCGAUAUAGUACUUCAUUCUGAAGUUCAAAACAUUGAAGAAUUAAUUAACGAAGUAUUUCAACGAUCACUAUUGUGAAAUUGUAGUCUUCCAUGUGAAAAUCGAGGACCAUCAAUAAUCUCGUGCGGAAAUUGAAAAAUUAAUUUUUUUAAAGAUUUAUAUCCAGAUACAGCAAGUAUCUAAAUGGAGUAAUCUACAAGACACUUAUGUCCAAAAAUUAAAUGAUCAAAAUAAAUGUGUUCCAAGUGCUGCUAAAGCCAAACCUAAGCCAGUAUCAUGACCAUAUUUUGAAUUAAUGCUUUAGUGGAAAAUAAUAAACAAGGUAGUUCAACAGAAAAAACAUCUGUUAAAAAAAAAUAAGAAUAAAGAGGACAAACUGUAGAAUAUAUAAGAUGAGAUAUUGAUAGAAGGUAUAUGAACCAAACCAUGUUUAUGAAAUCAUACAAUCCUUACUAAAGAAAGAGGUCCCUUAUCUGUGAAAGAAGUGUAUUGGAAAUAUACAAGAAAUUGGAAGAAAAUAUUAAAAAGCGCUGGAGAAAUCUCCGUGAUUGUUACAUGAAAGGGAGAAAGAAAAUGACACAUCAAGUGGUUUCAGCAGCAUCAACUUCAGAUAAAAAAAAGAUGAUUUUCGCUUUUUUGAUCAAAUGCAACUUUUAAAUGAUUCCAUAAUUUCAGGAGAACACCGACGGCUACUCCAUAAUGCAAGAACCAAGAGAACAUAAUGAGAGCAGUUUUGUAGAUAGCCAAGUUCGAAGAGGACAAUACAAAAAAAUCUACUUUGAAUCUACUUUUGGAAUAGGAAGAAGUGUCUCUCAUACAAGUAGUAUCUCUUCACAUGAAAAUUGGCGGAAAAACACAAUCAGGUGAUGCAAAAUUUAGAAGAGAUUUGAUGAAAAUUUUAAGUAAUACCAUCACCUGCUGAUGAUAUUGAAGUUUUUUAAUCCAGAUGAUGUUUUAAGAAGGUUACCCUACAAGGAUUAUAAAUUACAAAUGAAAAUCCUAAAUGAUGUGUUAGAAGCUGAAGAAAAAGGCAUUCUACAAUGCGUUGCAAACACUCAUUGUCAGUUGAAAUGUUUGUCGUGACAAUUAAUAAAGCCAAUGUUCAUGAUGCUAGAAAUCGGUCCGAGUUCUCGGAUCGAGAAAUGUGUAGUCAAUCAAUUUUUUGAUUUUCUGUAAAAACUGGAAGCUGAUUGAUACUGAACUAUACAUUUCUCCGAGAACUCGCUAUGACGCUCAUUUUCAGUGUCAAAAUAGGUCACGUGAUUACGACAUAUCGAGCGACAAUUUUGAUCACGUGAUCCGUUUUGACAUUGAAAAUGAAUGUCGUAUCGAUACAUUUCCGUUUUAUCGAAAAGUAAUAAACAAGGGAUGUUCUUGAAAGAAUAAAAGACGAUGUAUUCAUACGAAGAGAACUACAAAAGAAACAAGAAUAAAAGCUAAACCUAAAUAUCUUGGAAGAAAUAAAAAAAGACAUGAGAAAAAUGACACUUGAUGAGCUACCAGUACAGUAUGGAAUAAAGAAAUUAUCAAAUGUUGAGGAAUAUUGCAAAGCACAAGGUUGACCAUUAAUUUUGGUGAAAAUCACUUUAUAUGAAAUUAUUAUAAAGUAUAUCACGGAAAUAACAAACGUAUAUUUAGAAAUGUAGUUAUAUGCCAGAAUAUACCAAAAGUAUGUGCUUUAUUGAAUAAUUACAAAAGGAAGGAAUAAAAAACGGAAAGGCGACUUCCAAAUGUGAAGUCUUAAAGGAUGUGGAUUAGCAAGAAAAUAUCAAACUAAUUACAUUUUUGAGACACUGGCUCAGAGAAUAUGGCAGGUAUGACACAAACAUAGUGAAUAUGGAACAAAGACUUUUUUUUAUACUUGCCAAAAUGGCCUGAAGUCAAUUUUGUGUUACUUGUUUAUAUUUAAAUUUUAUAAUAAUCUCUCUUUUUUGGAGUGAAAUUUCACUCUAAGAGAGUAAAAAUACAGCGAAAUUAUUAGCAAAAUAGAAAAAAA